CAAAGUAAGGGCGUAUGGGGAAUGCCUAGGCUCUCAGAGGCGAAGAAGGACGUGAUAAGCUGCGAAAAGCUACGGGGAUCGGCACACACGAUAUGAUCCGUAGAUAUCCGAAUGGGGCAACCCAGCAUACUGAAGGUAUGUUAUCCGUAAGGAAGUUAACCCGCUGAACUGAAACAUCUAAGUAGGCGGAGGAAGAGAAAACAAGAGUGAUUCUGCGAGUAGCGGCGAGCGAAAGUGGAACAGCCCAAACCGAAAGUGUUACGGCACUUUCGGGGUUGUAGGACCACGACAUCUGAUGCAUAACGAACCAGAACCAGCCGGAGAGCUGGACCAUAGA
rnacentral:rRNA from 1 species